GGAUGAACGCUGGCGGCGUGCUUAACACAUGCAAGUCGAACGGGAAACAUUUUAUUGAAGCUUCGGCAGAUUUAGAUUGUUUCUAGUGGCGGACGGGUGAGUAACGCGUGGGUAACCUGCCUUAUACCGGGGGAUAACAGCCAGAAAUGACUGCUAAUACCGCAUAAGCGCACAGAACCGCAUGGUUCCGUGUGAAAAACUCCGGUGGUAUAAGAUGGACCCGCGUUGGAUUAGCUAGUUGGCAGGGCAGCGGCCUACCAAGGCGACGAUCCAUAGCCGGCCUGAGAGGGUGAACGGCCACAUUGGGACUGAGACACGGCCCAGACUCCUACGGGAGGCAGCAGUGGGGAAUAUUGCACAAUGGGGGAAACCCUGAUGCAGCGACGCCGCGUGAAGGAAGAAGUAUCUCGGUAUGUAAACUUCUAUCAGCAGGGAAGAUAAUGACGGUACCUGACUAAGAAGCCCCGGCUAACUACGUGCCAGCAGCCGCGGUAAUACGUAGGGGGCAAGCGUUAUCCGGAUUUACUGGGUGUAAAGGGAGCGUAGACGGCGCAGCAAGUCUGAUGUGAAAGGCAGGGGCUUAACCCCUGGACUGCAUUGGAAACUGCUGUGCUUGAGUGCCGGAGGGGUAAGCGGAAUUCCUAGUGUAGCGGUGAAAUGCGUAGAUAUUAGGAGGAACACCAGUGGCGAAGGCGGCUUACUGGACGGUAACUGACGUUGAGGCUCGAAGCGUGGGGAGCAAACAGGAUUAGAUA
rnacentral:rRNA from 1 species